rnacentral:rRNA from 1 species
UACGUAGGGUGCAAGCGUUAAUCGGAAUUACUGGGCGUAAAGCGUGCGCAGGCGGUUUUGUAAGUCUGACGUGAAAUCCCCGGGCUCAACCUGGGAAUGGCGAUGGAUACUGGGCAGCUAGAGUGUGUCAGAGGAUGGUGGAAUUCCCGGUGUAGCGGUGAAAUGCGUAGAGAUCGGGAGGAACAUCAGUGGCGAAGGCGGCCAUCUGGGACAACACUGACGCUGAAGCACGAAAGCGUGGGGAGCAAACAGG